rnacentral:lncRNA from 1 species
CUCCUACUCUGAUACCCAGAGGUAUCGACUUGGACCAAACUAUUUGCAACUUCCUGCUAAUGCUCCAAAGUGUGCUCAUCACAACAAUCACUACGAUGGCUCCAUGAAUUUUAUGCACAGGGAUGAGGAGGUACUUUCUCUCUCCUUCUAUAACAGUACAUAUCCAUAUUUGAUUGAGAUUUUGUGCUCAUCACAACAAUCACUAUGAUGGCUCUAUGAAUUUUAUGCACAGGGACGAGGAGGUACUUUCUAUCUCCUGUAACAGUACAUAUACAUGUUUGAUUGAGAUUUUGCUAAAGAGUUCAAGUUCUUACAAGUUAUAAAAUUGUUUUGCACCAUCAGGUUAAUGUUCUUUAUUUUUACCACGUAUAACAAUAAGGCACUACUUUUCAUAGCAAAGGUGAUGUAGUAACUUAGUUAAUGCAUGGUUAAUUACAGAUCGACUACUUCCCUUCAAGGUAUGAUCCUGUUCGCCAUGCUGAGAAGUAUCCAAUUCCUUCUACAAUGUGCACUGGAAAACGCGAGAAGGUUUGUUCCUUUCUACCUUUUAUCUAAUAAUGCUUGAAGCUGAACUAAAACUACAAAUUUUGAUCAGUGCAAAGUUGACACCCUGAAUCGAUCCAGUGGCCCAAACAACUUAAGUAGAUAUCCAGGAGAUGCUUAUUGUAUUGUCCUUAAUCCAACAAAAGACUUAUUUUAACUGUUGUUCUGCU